GCCCCCGUAGCUCAGUUGGACAGAGCAUGGGAUUUCUAAUCCCAGGGUCGCAGGUUCGAAUCCUGCUGGGGGCGCCA
rnacentral:tRNA from 1 species